AGACCCGAAACCCGGUGAUCUAGCCAUGGGCAGGUUGAAGGUUGGGUAACACUAACUGGAGGACCGAACCGACUAAUGUUGAAAAAUUAGCGGAUGACCUGUGGCUGGGGGUGAAAGGCCAAUCAAACCGGGAGAUAGCUGGUUCUCCCCGAAAGCUAUUUAGGUAGCGCCUCGUGAAUUCAUCUCCGGGGGUAGAGCACUGUUUCGGCUAGGGGGCCAUCCCGGCUUACCAACCCGAUGCAAACUGCGAAUACCGGAGAAUGUUAUCACGGGAGACACACGGCGGGUGCUAACGUCCGUCGUGAAGAGGGAAACAACCCAGACCGCCAGCUAAGGUCCCAAAGUCAUGGUUAAGUGGGAAACGAUGUGGGAAGGCCCAGACAGCCAGGAUGUUGGCUUAGAAGCAGCCAUCAUUUAAAGAAAGCGUAAUAGCUCACUGGUCGAGUCGGCCUGCGCGGAAGAUGUAACGGGGCUAAACCAUGCACCGAAGCUGCGGCAGCGAACGUAUCACCCAAGACAACUUUACGGAGUUGACGAUUGACGGAGCGAAGCGACGUCAAAGCGUUCAUUAAAGUCGAGUUGGCUUAGGGAUACGUUCGUUGGGUAGGGGAGCGUUCUGUAAGCCUGUGAAGGUGGCCUGUGAGGGUUGCUGGAGGUAUCAGAAGUGCGAAUGCUGACAUAAGUAACGAUAAAGCGGGUGAAAAGCCCGCUCGCCGGAAGACCAAGGGUUCCUGUCCAACGU
rnacentral:rRNA from 1 species